GCUCCCGGCUCGCGGCGCUCAGCUCCCGGCGGGGUGCCGUGUGCCGCGGGACCGGCGUGCAGGGCCAUUGGGACGAACGCACAAACGAACCAAAGAUCUUCAUGCCAAAUUUUCUGUGUUUUUUUAUUUUAUUAGCCUCGGUCACCUUCAGAUCUCAGGCAUUUGGAGACACCGUGUUACACCAGCUACCUUAACUGGAAAUGGAAGCAGCAAGGCAUUUCCCAGCAAAAUGAUUGCUGCAGGAAAAAUUGCGUUGCCCUGGUUUUCUGUGCAUAAACAUUGCUUUCGCCUUUUUAGGUCCCCUACCCCUUUUUCAAGGUUUGGGCAGUAUGAAUAGUCGCUCGUCCCCAAAGCAAACAUUUCAGGGGCCGGAAGGUAGUGAAAAAAGUCCUUCCCUGCAUGGUGAAGGCAACCUGUGCGGCUUGGGAAUUCCUCCCGGCCAGAGCGAUUUCCACCACGUCCAUCAGUCCAGGUUUUGUGUGUUUGGUGUCCCUGUUCCCGGGAAGCGUGUGGCGGUCGUGGCCGCGGCCCCGGUGGGAAGGCUCCCGGGAGGCUGCGGUGACGCUGCCUGGAGACACCGGCCCAGCCGCCCCAGCGAGGUCCCGUUCGCCUCUGAGAUCAUUUAUUUUGCUGGACUCCGAGGCUGACUCAGUGCUAACACGUGCUGCUUUUUGGCCCGAUUUAUUGCAGUUACUUGACAUCCAAAAUAAACAACGCCUGAGGUCCCUCUGCCGCUUCACCCUGCGCGGAGCGUCACGUCGGAGCCGCGCUUGCGCUCGGACCGCGCUGUGCGCGCCGGGACCUGCAUCGCCCGGGCUCCAUAAACGAUGAUAAAUCGCUUGGCACGGGCAAUGUGUUUCAGCUAAGCCCCAACCUGUUUAGUCUAAUGCGCAAAGCGAGCUGAAAUGAAAGGCCCGUUGGCAGGGCUGGUUUAAACAGGGGGACCGAGGCAUCCCCCGGCCUCCUCCGCAAAUAAAUCACAGUUCAAAGGAGCUCGCGUCCCAGCAGCUGGGAUAUUGGAGCCGCGCGGCGGAGGGCGGCGUGUGUUUCCAACCCAUCCGUCACCGCUCCGGAGAAUCGAAAGGCACUGGAAAAGGCCAUCAAAGCAGGUCUUGCUCAGGAAUCACCCGGCGGCGAUGGCCACGACCCGGCGAAGGUCUCCGAGCGAAAGCUGGUAGGCGGCAAAGUCCGUCCCGUCCUUGGCACAGCCACGGUCCACGCGCUGGCGGAUGCUCGGGGGCAAGAGGUGCCGGCCCCGCGCCCGCCCAGCCCCUGCCUGCUGGCUUUCUUCUGUGGCCUGCUUGGCGAUUCCAGGGUUUCCAAUACAUGAGGCCAAUGGCCUGCAGAAGAAAAACGAUCUCAGGUGAGAAGCAAUUAUCGCUGCUGAAGAAGUUCUGGCUGGAAGAAAAUGUUUUCCUGGAAUUCCACUGAGCUGUGGAUUUUCGAUUAGGAAGCAGCACCACAUCUGCAGAACGCACGUAUGAAAACUCGGGUGUAGCAUUCAUUACUGUAGGCGGUCAACACCCAUCCUAGGUCAAACACUGUCCUCCCAGGUCAGGCAACAGAGCCAUAGGUCUGCGGGCGUGAUGAAAAGGUUGAUAUAGCAGCGAGUUAAAAGUGCAACGUUGGCCUCCCAGCCCUGCACUGCUGCUGCAUCCGAGAUUGCGGCGAGCCCACAGUCGAGGGACACAAGAGCUGGUUGAACACUUUCCAAGGGAAUGGUUUUUUUCUCUUCCUGUGGUAAACUCCCCUUUGUCAAAAUGAGAACUUUCCAGGAGAAAAAAUGACUUACAAAGAUUUUUGGUUGGGUUUCUUUGUGUGUGUUUGUUUCCAAAUGUCUUUUUAACGAUGUUGCACAGCCAUAUCAGAUUUUGUAAAAGUCAAAAUGAGAACAAGAUGUAUUCAUUUCACCAUUAAAAAGAGGGCUGGAAAGGAAGACAAGGGAUCCUACAGCCCAUUCCCCUGCCCCUAAAAGGGAUCACAUAUUUUCAAGAUACGGGUUAAAUGCCAAGAAAUGUUGACUUUUUCUUUUGCUUUCGUUCGCUUCACUGAAGUGUAAUCUACCUUUUCACAUUGCCUUGCUACUGCACGUUAAAGGCAGCAGAAAUCUGUUCCCCCUAAAUUUUAGCUGCUACCUUUACCGUGCAGUAGCAAGGCACCAUAAGCCCCCGUAAGGCUGGUUUGCCUUUCUGACGAGGGUUUUACCAGUGGACCAAGGAAGUAAUUUACAGCAGUGCUAGAGAAAACCCCUGCUAUCUACUAGCUGAUAGUGUUUAAGCCAAACCCAUGCUGCCGCUGCUCUUGCAUCCAGCCAAAAAUGGCAAUUUAAGGAAAUCCAAACAUUUUGUGAGAGCGUAUCAAUUUCAUCUACAUUUUUGACAGGAAAUUAUGGAAACAUUUCCAUUCCAUAGAGUCAAAAUGUUUCAUUUUGGCCGUUGCUUUAGCUGUUUCUAUACAAUAACUAUAGCAUACGGAGAAGUUGAGGUUUAGAUCUUUAUCUGAUAUUUUUUAGUAUAAAAGUCAAAAUAAACAAAGCAUUUCAGCUUCA